CUGCAACCAUGCAGGAACUCAUAGUGCACCUUUAACUGACUGAAGACACAUAAGAUCCUGAAUUAUUGCUUCGUUGAUGAUUUGUGCUCCUGUCUGGAUAAGACCUACUCAUAAAAGAUCCUGGCUGGGAUAGCCUUUGUCAGCUCCCUCCUUAUUGAUGUGUUAUAGCUGGACUGCGGAGCUUGCAUGUGAUGGAGGCAGAAUUUGUCUUACUACUACUACUCCCCUUCUCUCAAAGUUCCUUACACAACUUGACCAAUGCACUGAGCAGCUCAUGGAAGUGUUGAAGAACAAAGGAGGCUCUGCAGGGAGCAAAAUAAGGAUCAUUAUGGCCCCAAUGACACAGGAAGCCGAUGCUACAGCUGUUGAGAGGGAGCUUGAGAAGUCACCUUUGGUAUCUACAGCAUCAAUGUUAAGGGAGGUGAUACCACCACUCCUCCAGCCGUUGUUGGAAUUGUGAUUGAGGGUGUUGAAGUUCUGCACGACUUGUUUUGACUUGAUUUAAAUGUUACUUUAUUGUAUACAAUGUUACUGUAGUGUACAGAAUUGCACCAAAAUGUUACUGAAUCACUGCUGUGUUGGUGAAUAAAGGAAAUAAGAAAACUAUGUUGGGUGUACCAAAUUCAUUUGUGUGGAACCUGUUAACAAACUUAAAUUAUGUCAAAGUAAAUAGUAAAACUUAUAGUAGAUGAAAACCUAAUGUUUUCAUUAACUGAAAUUAAAUGUAUUAUUUAAUGACUACAAAUAAGAUAUAUGCUUAAUUGACAAAUGUAAAAUAUGUAGCCUGUACAUAUAUUAUUUAGGUUAAUAUAACGGAACUGACUUAAUUUGGUUAAGCUUAAAUAUCUCUUGUUGAUCAGAAGUAAAACAUUGUAAUUAGCUGAAUUUACAAUCAUUGUGUUACUGUAACAUAAGUUAGUUAAAUUAAAUGACCUUAAUAUUUUUGCUUUUAACUAACCGAAUAAAAAUACGUGGAACCUGUUGACAUAAUAAAUUUAAUUAAAGUCAAUGAUUCAAUUUUUUCAGUGUAAGAUGAG